UCGCCUGUUUAUCAAAAACAUCUUUUCUUGUUAGUUUUUGAAGUAUGGCCUGCCCACUGACGUGUUGUUGAAGGGCCGCGGUAUUUUGACCGUGCAAAGGUAGCAUAAUCAUUAGUUCUUUAAUUGUGAUCUGGUAUGAAUGGCUUGACGAGACAUAAGCUGUCUUAGGGGUAUUGUUUAUUGAAUUUGGUCUUUGAGUUAAAAUUCUUAAAUGUUUUUAUGGGACGAGAAGACCCUAUAGAGUUUAACAUUUUUCUUAUUAUAUAUUGUUUGUUAUGUUUUAUUGAGUAAGGAGUAGAUUGUUUUGUUGGGGUGAUGGGAGGAAAUUAUUUAACUUCUCUUUGUUUAUUUAUAUUUAUUUAUAUUUUUUUGAUCCAUUUAUUUUGAUUAUAAGAUUAAAUUACCUUAGGGAUAACAGCGUAAA
rnacentral:rRNA from 1 species